rnacentral:rRNA from 1 species
UGGGGAAUUUUCCGCAAUGGGCGAAAGCCUGACGGAGCAACGCCGCGUGGGUGACGAAGGAUUUCGGUCUGUAAAGCCCUUUCAGUCGGGACGAGUCGAAGACGGUACCGACAGAAGAAGCAUCGGCUAACUACGUGCCAGCAGCCGCGGUAAGACGUAGGAUGCGAGCGUUGUCCGGAAUUAUUGGGCGUAAAGCGUACGUAGGCGGUCCAUUAAGUCUGGGGUUAAAGACCGAGGCUCAACCUCGGGGGUGCCCUGGAAACUGGUGGACUGGAGGACGGCAGAGGAAAGUGGAAUUCCCAGUGUAGCGGUGAAAUGCGUAGAGAUUGGGAGGAACACCAGUGGCGAAAGCGACUUUCUGGGCCGUUCCUGACGCUGAGGUACGAAAGCCAGGGGAGCAAACGGG